CGGACGGGUGAGUAAUGUCUGGGAAACUGCCCGAUGGAGGGGGAUAACUACUGGAAACGGUAGCUAUACCGCAUAACGUCGCAAGACCAAAGAGGGGGACCUUAGGGCCUCUUGCCAUCGGAUGUGCCCAGAUGGGAUUAGCUAGUAGGUGGGGUAAUGGCUCACCUAGGCGACGAUCCCUAGCUGGUCUGAGAGGAUGACCAGCCACACUGGAACUGAGACACGGUCCAG
rnacentral:rRNA from 1 species